rnacentral:rRNA from 1 species
AGUGAACGCUGGCGGUAGGCCUAACACAUGCAAGUCGAACGGCAGCACAGAGGAGCUUGCUCCUUGGGUGGCGAGUGGCGGACGGGUGAGGAAUACAUCGGAAUCUACUCUGUCGUGGGGGAUAAUGUAGGGAAACUUACGCUAAUACCGCAUACGACCUACGGGUGAAAGCAGGGGCCCUUCGGGCCUUGCGCGAUUGUAUGAGCCGAUGUCGGAUUAGCUAGUUGGCGGGGUAAAGGCCCGCCAAGGCGACGAUCCGUAGCUGGUCUGAGAGGAUGCUCAGCCACACUGGAACUGAGACACGGUCCAGACUCCUACGGGAGGCAGCAGUGGGGAAUAUUGGAUAAUGGGCGCAAGCCUGAUCCAGCCAUACCGCGUGGGUGAAGAAGGCCUUCGGGUUGUAAAGCCCUUUUGUUGGGAAAGAAAUCCAGCUGGCUAAUACCCGGUUGGGAUGACGGUACCCAAAGAAUAAGCACCGGCUAACUUCGUGCCAGCCGCCGCCGUAA